GUGCCAGCAGCCGCGGUAAUACAGAGGGUGCUAGCGUUAAUCGGAUUUACUGGGCGUAAAGCGUGUGUAGGCGGUUUGUUAAGUCGGAUGUGAAAGCCCUGGGCUCAACCUAGGAAUCGCAUUCGAUACUGGCAGGCUAGAGUACGGUAGAGGGUGGCGGAAUUCCGGGUGUAGCGGUGAAAUGCGUAGAUAUCCGGAGGAACACCGAUGGCGAAGGCAACCACCUGGGCCUGUACUGACGCUGAGACACGAAAGCGUGGGGAGCAAACAGGAUUAGAAACCCUCGUAGUCC
rnacentral:rRNA from 1 species